ensembl:lncRNA
CAGGACAAUGAUCCCAAAUAUACUUCAAAAAGCACCCAGAAAUGGAUGGCAACAAAGCGCUGGAGAGUUCCGAAGUGGCCAGCAAUGAGUCCAGAUCUAAAUCCCAUUGAACACAUGUGGAGAAAUCUUAAUUGCUGUUGGGAAAAGGUGCCCUUCCAAUAUGAUAGACCUGGAGCAGUUUGCAAAGGAAGAGUGGUCCAAAAUUCCAGAAUUGCACAGGGUUUACAUCUACGUCAAGUAGAUAUGCUUCAAGAUGGCACUGCGAAGAGAACAGCAAUGCUUUUCAUGAUGUCAAAGAAACUCAGAAGUGUUAGUGUAAAAAGCCUGAAGACGCACCGAAAGAAAAAGAGGCAGAGAGUUGGCGGUCUUAAGCAUGCAGAACAAUGUGACGACACGUUUGAGCUGCAUUCGGUCUAAAUGAGGCUGACGGAGACACUGAAGAGGGACUUCAGGAGCCUGAUCAAGACGGUUUGCAGCAUGACGCCCGAGGCGACGAUCAUCGUGUCAGGACCACUGCCCACGUAUCGACAAGGACACGAAAGGUUCAGUAGACUUUUUGCUCUAAAUGAAUGGUUACUGUCAUGAUGUAAAGAACAGAAACUGCUCUUUGUUAAUAAUUGGAAUCUUUUCUGGAAGUGUCCUAGGAUCUUUCGUGCUGAUGGCCUGCACCCCAGCAGAGUCGGAGCGGAUCUCCUCUCGGACAACAUCUCCAGGACUCUACACUCCAUUUGACUAGUAAACCAGUUCUCAAAUAACUGCUAUGUUGGCUUUUGUUCUAUCUGCUUAAAUGGUAGAAGUAUGUGCGCUAUCCAAUCUAUUAAGACUGUGUCUGUUCCCCGAAUAGUGAGGUCAAAAUAUAAAUGUAAUGUAGGAUCUAGAAAAAAAAUCUUAUCGUGAUUAAACCAGAAAAAUGUAAAAUAAAUGAACACAAACAAUUUCUAAAGUUUGGGCUCAUAAACAUUAGAUCACUCACACCCAAAGCAGUUAUUGUAAAUGAAAUGAUCACAGAUAAUAGUUUUGAUGUACUCUGCUUGACUGAAACCUGGCUAAAACCAAAUGAUUAUAUUGGUCUAAAUGAGUCUACUCCACUAAACUACUGUCAUAAACAUGAGUCCCGUCAGACUGGUCGUGGGGGAGGUGUUGCAACAAUAUAUUGUGAUAUUCUCAAUGUUACCCAGAAAACAGGAUACAGGUUUAAAUCAUUCGAAAUACUUCUGCUUAAUGUUACACUGUCAGAUAUGCAAAAGAAAUCUAUUGUAUCUCUUGCUCUGGCUACUGUGUAUAGACCACCAGGGCCAUAUACAGAAUCCUAAAAUAAUUUGGAGAUUUCCUCUCAGACCUGUUGGUUACCGCUGAUAAAGUGCUAAUUUUCAGAGAUUUUAACAUUCACGUUGAUAAUACAAAUGAUGCAUUAGGACUUGCGUUUACUGACUUAUUAAACUGUCUUGGAGUAAAGCUUAAUGUCACCGGGCCCACUCAUCGUUUUAAUCAUACGCUAGAUUUAAUUAUAUCGCAUGGAAUCGAUCUUACUGACAUAGAUAUCGUACCUCAAAGUGAUGAUGUUACUGACCAUUUCCUUGUAUUGUGCAUUCUGCGUAUUGAUGAUAAUAACGAUAUGGCUUCGCAUUAUAGUCCGGGCAGAACUAUUGUUCCAGCCACCAAAGACAGAUUCACAAAUAACCUGUCUGAUUUAUCUCCACUGCUCUGUGUACCCAUAAAAACACAUGAACUAGACAAAAUGACUGGCAACAUGGGCACUAUCUUCUCUAAUACAUUAGAAGCUGUUGCCCCCAUCAAAUUGAAAAAGGUUAGAGAAAAACGUACUGUGCCAUGGUACAACAGUAAUACCCACUCUCUCAAGAAAGAA